GACGAACGCUGGCGGCGCGCCUAACACAUGCAGGUCGAACGGAGCUGAGAGAAGCUUGCUUUUCUUAGCUUAGUGGCGAACGGGUGAGUAACGCGUGAGUAACCUGCCCUGGAGUGGGGGACAACAGUUGGAAACGACUGCUAAUACCGCAUAAGCCCACGAUCCGGCAUCGGAUUGAGGGAAAAGGAUUUAUUCGCUUCAGGAUGGACUCGCGUCCAAUUAGCUAGUUGGUGAGGUAACGGCCCACCAAGGCGACGAUUGGUAGCCGGACUGAGAGGUUGAACGGCCACAUUGGGACUGAGACACGGCCCAGACUCCUACGGGAGGCAGCAGUGGGGGAUAUUGCACAAUGGGGGAAACCCUGAUGCAGCGACGCCGCGUGGAGGAAGAAGGUUUUCGGAUUGUAAACUCCUGUCGUUAGGGACGAUAAUGACGGUACCUAACAAGAAAGCACCGGCUAACUACGUG
rnacentral:rRNA from 1 species